CCUACGGGAGGCAGCAGUGGGGAAUAUUGGACAAUGGGCGAAAGCCUGAUCCAGCCAUGCCGCGUGUGUGAAGAAGGCCUUCGGGUUGUAAAGCACUUUCAGUGGGGAAGAAAGCCUUGGGGCUAAUACCCUCGAGGAAGGACAUCACCCACAGAAGAAGCACCGGCUAACUCCGUGCCAGCAGCCGCGGUAAUACGGAGGGUGCGAGCGUUAAUCGGAAUUACUGGGCGUAAAGCGCGCGUAGGCGGCCUGAUAAGCCGGUUGUGAAAGCCCCGGGCUCAACCUGGGAACGGCAUCCGGAACUGUCAGGCUAGAGUGCAGGAGAGGAAGGUAGAAUUCCCGGUGUAGCGGUGAAAUGCGUAGAGAUCGGGAGGAAUACCAGUGGCGAAGGCGGCCUUCUGGACUGACACUGACGCUGAGGUGCGAAAGCGUGGGUAGCAAACAGGAUUAGAUACCCCAGUAGU
rnacentral:rRNA from 1 species